rnacentral:rRNA from 1 species
UACGUAGGGUGCGAGCGUUGUCCGGAAUUAUUGGGCGUAAAGGGCUCGUAGGCGGUCUGUCGCGUCGGGAGUGAAAACUUACAGCUUAACUGUGAGCGUGCUUCCGAUACGGGCAGACUUGAGGUAUUCAGGGGAGAACGGAAUUCCUGGUGUAGCGGUGAAAUGCGUAGAGAUCAGGAAGAACACCGGUGGCGAAAGCGCUCUGCUGGACCUUAACUGACACUGAGGGACGAAAGCUAGGGGAGCGAAUGGG